rnacentral:rRNA from 1 species
GACGACCGCUGGCGGUAUGCUUAACACAUGCAAGUCGAACGAGACGAAGAUGAAGUGCUUGCACGGAUUCUUUAGAAAGUGGCGAACGGGUGAGUAACGCGUGGGUAACCUGCCCUAUGGAAAGGAAUAGCCUCGGGAAACUGGGAGUAAUGCCUUAUAAUAUAUCGAAGUCGCAUGGCUUAGAUAUUAAACGCUCCGGUGCCAUAGGAUGGACCCGCGUCCCAUUAGCUAGUUGGUGAGAUAACAGCCCACCAAGGCGACGAUGGGUAACCGGUCUGAGAGGGCGAACGGUCACACUGGAACUGAGACACGGUCCAGACUCCUACGGGAGGCAGCAGUGGGGAAUAUUGCGCAAUGGGGGCAACCCUGACGCAGCAAUACCGCGUGAGUGAAGAAGGUUUUCGGAUCGUAAAGCUCUGUUAUUGGGGAAGAAAAAAAGACGGUACCCAAGAAGAAAGUCCCGGCUAACUACGUGCCAGCAGCCGCCGUAA